GAGAAGAACGUAGCGAAAUGCGAUAAGUAGUGUGAAUUGCAGAAUUCAGUGAAUCAUCGAGUCUUUGAACGCACAUUGCGCCCCCUGGCAUUCCGGGGGGCAUGCCUGUCCGAGCGUCAUUGCUGCCCUUCAAGCCCGGCUUGUGUGUUGGGUCGUCGUCCCCCCCGGGGGACGGGCCCGAAAGGCAGCGGCGGCACCGCGUCCGGUCCUCGAGCGUAUGGGGCUUUGUCACCCGCUCGAUUAGGGCCGGCCGGGCGCCAGCCGGCGUCUCCAACCUUCUAUUUUACCAGGUUGACCUCGGAUCAGGUAGGGAUACCCGCUGAACUUAAGCAUAUCAAUAAGCGGAGGA
rnacentral:misc_RNA from 1 species